rnacentral:rRNA from 1 species
GACGAACCGUGCAAACGUUGUUCGGAAUCACUGGGCUUAAAGGGCGCGUAGGCGGGCCAGCCAGUCUGUGGUGAAAGCCUCCAGCUUAACUGGAGAAGUGCCGUGGAUACUGCUGGCCUCGAGGAGGAUAGGGGCAUCUGGAACGGUCGGUGGAGCGGUGAAAUGCGUUGAUAUCGACCGGAACUCCGGUGGCGAAGGCGAGGUGCUGGGUCCUUUCUGACGCUGAUGCGCGAAAGCCAGGGGAGCAAAGCGGGG